rnacentral:miRNA from 1 species
UAAGGCACUUCCAAGCCGUAC